AAUGCUAGGACCCUUAGGAGCAGCGGGAUCACCUCCGUUUAGCGCCGUGCAUGUAGCAGCAGGAUGUGUAGGGGCUGCAGGAACAUCACUAGCGGCGGAGAAUGAAGCUGGAGCCGAGCCCGCGGCACCGCUCUCUCUUGCGGCUGCGCAGUCGGCAGUGUCGCUCCUCACUGUGCCUGCUACUGCGCAUGUGUCAACUGGACCGACACUGCUGGGAGCCUCCGCGUCCCUAGAUGGCGCUGCAUCGCUGGCGCCUGAAGCCACCAUGCAACCCGGAAGAAAGCCACUGUGGAUCGCUGCCAUGGCAACAGACGCUGUUUUCGGAAAAAAAAAAAAAAAUAAAAAGCAGAACCAGGAUUACUCAAACCAGAGUCCGGCGUGCGGGUGCUGAGGCCGCGCUCCAGGGCUGGGGGCUGCGCGCUGGGGCUGCCGCUGCGCCGGCUCGGCCGUGGGGGAGGCGGCGCUGGCAGCCACGGCAAAAGGCGGCAGGGGCACCUCGGCGGCAGAGGCACCUCAGCGACAGAGGCAACGCCGACAGCUACUUCUGCAGAGCCAGCCAGACUUCUGCGGGCAUCCCCGGGAGCUGCACGGCGCACGGAGCAGCCCGGGGAACAGCAGCUCGGCGGUGACUGGCUUGCGGGGGAGUUGCCCCGCAGAAUCCAGGCAUGUCGGUAACUGAGAACAGAAAGCAGAAUCUCUCUCUCUUUAGUCCUUCUACUCACUUGUGGAUAACUUAAAACUAAAAGAUUGUGUUUUACUAAAAGUUAGCAUGCAAGAAAUUUUAAGAGUUUCCCAGAGAAUGAAUCUUUAUAUAAAAGCUUUAGUGAGUUGCCUUGGUUUUAGUCACAUUUUACCCCUGUAAAGAACUUCUGCCCAAAUUUCGUGUUCAGUCUUAGCAGGAGGAGACAUAAGGUUCACACAAUAGAGAUCAUUUGUUGCUUAGCAACUGGGUGGGACUCAAACCACCUCCAGCAGUUUCUCAGAACUAGGGAGAGAGUAGAACUUAUACACCAAAAACUACAAAUCUGCAAAUAAGAUAAAUGGAAAGCUGGCAGGCUGAGGAUUUCCUUGAUUCUUAGGUAAAACAUCUCUCUAUCUUCCUGUUAUAAACUGAGAAGUUAUUGUGACAGUGGAAAUCACAUCUUUAGAAUUGUAUUUAAAAAGGUUUACUCAGCUGAUUUUAACAUUUGGAUGUUAAUUUACAUUCCUGUCUGAUAUUAUUUCUUUUCCUUGGUCAAGUUUAGUGAAUUCAUUAUUUUUUCCUUUUUUUUUUCUUCUGUGUUUAUGACAGAGUUGCAACUUUGAGUUGCAUUUCAUGUACUGUUUAAGCAAUUGUUAAUAUUCUAUUUAUAACAUAGCAGCAAGUACAUUUUUUUUCAGAUUUUAAUAUAUAUCUUCUGUCGUGGAUUCGUACAGUAUGUACAGAGCAGUUUGGUCAAACAAAACGUAUUAUAUGUUUUUAAAUGUUUUAUAACUGCUGAUAUAGCAUACAGCCUCAUUGCUUUUCUAAAAACACUACUCAGGCACACACUAUGCUGUGAAGUUUGACUUAUCUCUCUUGGCACUGAUGUUAUGUCAACAGUUAUACUACAUGAAUUUCAGAUUAUUUUUAAAAUAACCUAACAAGAUGCAAAAUGUGUGUGUUUACUUUAUACCAAUAAAAGAGCAGAUUGCUAAAUUA